rnacentral:rRNA from 1 species
UACAGCAGCUAGCCAUUCACCUAGAAAGGAGGCAUGUCAAGAUCGUCUAACGAGUAAGAAACCCUCAAGCGGCUGUCAAAACUUUCGGGUCUAGACCGGGGAGACCGUAACAAUUGCGGUCUGGUUUGGUUGGGACGGUAAGUCCGCCUGAGCUUACGACGAGACCUACGCCCGUUAUUCAACCGCAGCCGCCCGGCCCCUCCGGCGUGACACCGCUCGCCACCGCAGCCCUCCGUAGAGGCUGACAGGCGCGUCGGUUGACUGUCCCAGUUGGGUUUCCGCGAACCAACCUGUUUCUCCAAUGCGGCAUUACGCGGUGGACUGGCCUGUGGUACAGGAAGAUCCUACUCACGUGAUCUCGUCAGUUAACCGUUUACACGUCUUCUCUGACGCUUUUCACCCUUCGGCCUCCGCCUCUUAUCAUCUAGAACAUCUACGCUCACGGGACGUAACUCUUCCGAGAACGGCCGUCGACUAUUGUCAAGUAUGUACUGUCUCGUGACACCACUGUGGGCUCGUUCUUAUCUCCAAGUCAAGGGCCUGUGCAGCUCGAACCCCAGCUGUCGCUCGCGAACCUCGUGCUUGAACUGCGGCCUCGUUCCUCCGGUACCGUAGCUGCUGCACUCGCCUUUAUAACCAAGACAACACGACAGACAACCAGAAGGCUUGAACCUCUCGAAACGGGCAUGCGACGGCGGCGAAGGCUAGCGACGACGGCGCGCACGGUAGAAGGCGCGGCGGCGGCGUACGACGAGAUAGGCGCAGCGGCGACGCUACAGUAGGAGGCGAUACAGGCAGCCGGUUUGACUGUCGCGGGAGCAGAGAAAGGGGCAGCGGUGCUAGGGGCGGCGCGAGCGGCAGGGCUGCUAGAGGCUGGUGGAGCCAACGGUGUUGAAGUACGAGACCCCCCCCCCCCCGUAGUGGUCGUAGCAAGAACGGCCACGGUUGGAGGUACCUGUGGAGCUACCGUGGUUCCGCCGUGGCCGGUUUUGUGAGUAACAGCCGUGGCCGCUGCGACGGUGAUGGUAGUAGUUGGGCCUCAUGGUGGUUACCACCCAAGUUCUAGUCGCGCAGUUCCCCGAAGAAGAGUGGAGGUACCUACUCCUAUAACGUACGGUUGAGUAACCGAUGCUCAGCCGCGUACACCACACCUGUCGGUAGCGGCGGUACAAGCCGCGGGUCUCGUCGCGGAUACAGGCGGUGUAGGCCGUUGUUGAAGUCAGUGACUCCUUCCUGCUAGAUAGGCGGCGCCUUAUGUACGUGUUCUACUUCCGGGAUCGGCUGUGAUACCAGUGGGGCCGAGAGGCUAGGCACUACUACUCGAAUAGCUAGUGUAGGAGUGGCCGGAACCGAGACGGAUGUUGAGGCAGCGGCGGAGGAACCCGCACU